rnacentral:SRP_RNA from 1 species
AGUCCUCCGCCAGAUCAUCGAUGGCAGGAUGGCUGCUGCUGAACGAAGAGGAUGAGAUCUCGGCCUAUGGCCCGCGAAAUUGGGUGAAGCCAGAGGACUGGAAGGGAGCAGCGAAGUUGAUCCGAUGGCUUGAUGGUGAUGAGCCU